AGUUAACUUGCUCACGCUCAAUUAGCCCCGAAUAAACCACUUUAAUAGACUCUGCACACUUCAUUAAUGCCCAGCAUAGGACUGGCGGCAGACCUGGGAUUGGCGGUCCACCGCGCGAGGGACGCAAGUGCCCGCGCUGCGCAGGGACCCGGGAUCCCGAGCGCGAAUUGCGUCUGCUGUGCGUGGUCGGGUCCCCUUAUUCUUUCCCCCAGGUCCUGAGGCCCAAGCUGUUUGAAGAGUGGGUGCCUAGCCUGGGGAAGGGUUUUCCAUCCUGUGUUUAAAGAUCGAAAGUAUUCGCCCUGGGGUUCCGGGGUCUGGGAAACCGGGGCCGGAGGGGCCGGGGGCUCACCCAUCCUUUCUGGCUGGAGAGGCUAGGGUGAGACUGUGUUUUUCUCUUAGCCGACCUCCUGAAGCCGGAUCGUGCUUUCGGCCCAUUCUUGAUACUAGUGUAAAGAGCCACGUUUCGAACGAAUUUCGUCCCGGGGAAAGUCGUUGGCGGGAGCCUGGGGAGCCCUGGCUUCCGAAUGCUUCAGAAAACAAGGAACGGGCUGGGCCGCGGAAGAAAAUAAAUGUAGUGUUGGGGAAAACAAGAUUGGGCAGAUAGCCCGGAAAGGUUGGCUCCCAGGAACCAUUAUAGCUGCAAGCACUCCCCCUUCCCGGCACCCCCUACGGAGCCCAAGACGGCUCCGGUCUUGGCUCCAAGGAAGAAGGCGAGGAAAGGCCUAGCGAGGUUGGUGGUUUCUCCCACCCAGGCACGGAGAGGGUUCGGGCCAGUGUGCAGCCCAGAGUCCCACAGCCAUGGCCGCUGGCUUGGCCUUGGAUAGGCCAAGCACCCAGAGGAGCAGGGGGGAGGCCUCCGCAGCUCCCAGCGGGCUCCGGGACCCGCAGAUAAGGAUCUGAUUUCCAGCGCCUGGAAGGGAAGAAGAGGUGACAGCAAUUCAAAGAGCGCUCAUCCCUCCUAAGUCCAGGCCGACCUUUGAAGUUAGCGAGGCUUCUCCUCCUUCCCCUUCCCCAACCCAAAUGGGUCCCAGCUUCCUCUCUGGCCCAAUUUGAAAUUUACUUCUCCUUGUGUCCGAGCUCUGGGAUAGUCUCAAUUUGUCCCGGGCACGACCCGAGCUUGGCGCAGUAGAGAUGACCGUUGCUGAAGCCACGGCGCUGCCGGCAGGACCAGCGCUCUGCUUCAGAGACCAGAUCACGCAGAUAAUAUGCCUCCUCUCGCCCUGAUGCUAAAUUCACUGCAGCGGUUUUUAUCCGAGUGCUAAUUUAAACUGCGCAGGCAAAUCGCUGCCAGCUCAUGGUGUUUUUACACCCCAUUCCCAGGAAGGCCUCUUUCCUUAGGUCCCACCACACAGCCAGUGGCCCCCGUGCCAGCUUCCAGGAGAAAAGGUUUUCCUGGGUCGACAUUGCCCUCAUACCUCCUGGGAAAAGGCAUUGCACAUCCCUGGACAGAGCCAGGCUUUGAAAGCCUCGCUGCAGCGAAAGGCAAAGGAGUCUAUGCCUGGGCCUUGCCCUGGGCUGAGGGUCAGCUCAACCUGGGGAGGGGGCACGCCAAACUAGGGAGCAGAGCAGAGACCAGUGCAUCCCAGGGAAGGGGAAUUGCUCCACGUUAGAGGAAAGGACCUAGGAAGAGGAGAGUAGUGAAGGGUAAAGGAAGGAGUCAACAGCAGGGGACUGAAGAUGGGCAAGAGAGAAGGGAGUCCCACAGACCCUGCUGUGACAAUGACUUCUUAAGUAGCCCCAAGCUAGCAGCCAGAGUUCAGUGCUUGGGCUUCCCAAGGCUCCCUGACAGUUUAGACUUUGCUCACCCUGUUCUUUCCUCCAUUGGACACAUCUGCGUUAGGAGUGUCUGGGAGGUAGAGACGAAAAGCGUUUUGCAGAGCUCAGAUGUCUCCACGGAGGCCGAAGACCAUGGCCAAGGAGGUCUGGAGAUGCCAGCCCCUGGUCACUUCAGUGUGGCUUUCCUCUGGCCUUGCUCAAGCUCUCCGACCUUGCAGUUGGAGGUCCAUAGACCACAGGAAUGGAGGCCUGGCCUCAGUGUUCUUGCCCAUAGGCAUACCCACCGGCCCAGGGCUCACAACACACAAGAACAUGCUGACAACCCAAAGACUCAGCUCCCUUUUUCUUUAGGGGAGUGAGGGCACUAACACCCCCUUGUUUGUUACUGCAGUUGUUUGACAGAGUAAAUGAAUGUGGAUAUUAGCAUCCUCCUUGAAAGCAAAGUGGUCCCCAAGGGCUAAGGCAAGGCAGACAGUCAGUCCACAAGCAGCUGCAGAGAGAGUGGAGCCAACAGGUUUCACUUAUACUAAGGCAGGGAAGCAGAUUUAAGGUCAAAGUUGAGGGUUUUGAGGAGAAAGAUGACAGGGCUUCUGGAAGCCAAAUCAAAGGUCAGCCAGAAGACCUUAACGAACGGGAGCCAGGAGGUGCUUGAAUUUGUGUGCCUGUGUAUGUGUGUUGUCUGUGAGGCUCUUCAUAGGUGCAAUGUGAUCCCGUGUGUGUGUGUGUGUGUGUGUGUGUGUGUGUGUGUGUGUGUGUGAUGCAGGGGUUCCUGCAUUUUUUUUAAAGCCAGUGUUUUGCUAUAAAACACUGGUUGUCCCAGUCUUUGCACCUUAUCAAUUCUGCCUCAGAAUGUGUGAAUCCACGUGUGCAUUUCUGUGUUUAUCUGCAAAUAAAUGUGUAAGUGUGUUCCCCAGCUCCUGUUAUCUUUGCAGGAGAUUGUGAUUCUGUGUUGACCCAGGCUUACCUGGCUGUCCAUUUCUACAGGACAGGCAGUUUCCCUGUGCUUGUUCCUUUCUCAGUGUCUUGCAUACAGUAGGCCCUUCCCUCUAUCAAGUUGUGUGACUCUGCCAGACGCCAUUUGGAGGGAGCCCUUAGACCAAGGAGGGUUCUGAAAAGAGGGCUCCCCUGCAUCUUGCAUUCCCACCCUCUUUGUGAGGGCAGUGGGUUUUGGGAAUGGGGUCUUAGACUCUUAGCUCCUGCGCUGGGUGUGAGGAGAGGGUGUGGCUGGGCUGGAAUUCAGGAGGAAGGCGACCCACCCUGAACUUCUUUAUUCCUCUCCACGCCCCUGCCUUCUUCUUUUCUUUGCAGAUCCGGAUUGAGAAGCCACUGCAACUAGCGAGAUGGGCAGCAAAACCUUGCCGGCGCCGGUGCCUAUCCACCCUUCCCUGCAGCUCACCAACUACUCCUUCCUUCAGGCAGUGAACGGCCUGCCCACAGUGCCUUCGGACCAUCUGCCCAACCUGUAUGGUUUCAGCGCGUUGCACGCUGUGCACCUGCAUCAGUGGACGCUGGGCUACCCGGCCAUGCACUUGCCGCGCUCUUCUUUCUCCAAAGUGCCAGGCACGGUGUCCAGCUUGGUGGAUGCGCGCUUCCAGCUGCCCGCCUUUCCCUGGUUCCCUCAUGUCAUUCAACCCAAGCCCGAGAUCACCGCUGGAGGCAGCGUUCCAGCGCUCAAGACCAAGCCGCGCUUUGAUUUUGCCAACCUGGCCUUGGCAGCAACGCAAGAAGAUCCAGCCAAGCUCGGUCGCGGGGAGGGCCCAGGCUCCCCUGCAGGUGGGCUGGGUGCCCUCCUCGACGUGACCAAGCUGUCUCCAGAAAAGAAGCCCACAAGGGGACGUCUGCCUUCCAAGACCAAGAAGGAAUUCGUCUGCAAGUUCUGUGGCCGCCACUUCACCAAGUCCUACAACCUACUUAUCCAUGAGCGGACGCACACCGACGAGCGGCCCUACACCUGUGACAUCUGCCACAAAGCCUUCCGGAGGCAAGACCACCUAAGAGAUCACAGAUAUAUUCACUCCAAAGAGAAGCCCUUCAAGUGUCAAGAGUGUGGGAAAGGAUUCUGCCAGUCCAGGACUCUCGCUGUCCACAAGACGCUACACUCACAGGUGAAGGAGCUCAAAACCUCCAAGAUCAAAUGCUAAAUAGAACUUCUGGGUCACAAGGACCCUAGGCCCAGCGGCCCUCUCCUCCAUAGGGACCAGAAGCCUGACUCUGGCGGGCAGCGGGAGAGGCGCUCGCUCGGGACCUUCCACCUCUCCAACAUUGUCCCCUGGGUCCCUGGCGCACGCGGCACUUCAGAGCCCCGCCCGGGGCCGCGACCCCGACCGUCCCUGCUGCUCCCCUAGGACGCGGCUAAACUCUUGGCCAAAAGGCGGUACUCACGUGGCGGAAGGGAAACUGCCUU
rnacentral:sRNA from 1 species